UACGAAGGGGGCUAGCGUUGCUCGGAAUUACUGGGCGUAAAGCGCACGUAGGCGGCUUCUUAAGUCGGUGGUGAAAUCCUGGAGCUCAACUCCAGAACUGCCUUCGAUACUGGGAGCUCGAGUCCGGGAGAGGUGAGUGGAACUGCGAGUGUAGAGGUGAAAUUCGUAGAUAUUCGCAAGAACACCAGUGGCGAAGGCGGCUCACUGGCCCGGUACUGACGCUGAGGCACGAAAGCGUGGGGAG
rnacentral:rRNA from 1 species